AGGGGGGGUUUGAUCCUGGCUCAGAAUGAACGUUGGCGGCGUGGAUUAGGCAUGCAAGUCGGGCGCCCCGCGAGGGGCGUGGCGCAAGGGUGAGUAAGGCNAACGGCAACCAACCCCCCGGCUGGGUAUAGCCGCGGAAAUNUGCGGUUANNCCCCAGCGACGUCGCGGCGGUGGCAUCACCGCCCGACCAAAGGUGCGAUUCCGCCGGGGGACGGGCCGUCGUGGUAUCAGCUUGUUGGCGGGGUAACGGCCCACCAAGGCUGGGACGCCUACCGGGCGUGCGAGCGUGGCCCGGCACACUGGGACUGAGACACUGCCCAGACACCUACGGGUUGGCUGCAGUCGAGAAUCUUCGANAAUGGGNCGCAAGCCNUGACCGAGCGACGCCGCGUGGAAGGACGACGGNCCUUNCGGGUUUGUAAACUCCUUGUCGAGGGGGAACNAAGGCCGCGCNAA
rnacentral:rRNA from 1 species